CCAGAACCAGCCGUUGUCCCCUGGCAAAAAGAGGCCCAGGGCUGAGCCCUGGGCAAGUGUCUCCCGACAUCGCUACCCCUCCUCCCUUUAUUAGUUUCCCUUUCCCAACAGAAACCAUUUCCUUCUGCCACCAAAACUAGGUUGCAUCCAAAAGUUUUUCACAAGCUUAAAAAAGAAAAACGAAAAAUUGACAAGUAUUACACAGAAGAGCCCACAAAAGCUUCAGCAACACCAAGGGCGAAGAAGCAGCGUCAGAUCCAGGUCUGCAGGACACACCAAAGAACUCCUCCAAGUCACACAAGGGAGAAAAUUAACUUCAUUGGCUUCUAUCAGGAAAGCUAUUUUUUUUUUCCUCUUCUUUCCUGCAAGUUUCCCAAACCCCAUGACUCUGAUUUCCAGGUCAGAGACUAAGGUUUUAUUUUUCUUACUCUGUAUACUUUAUAUGUGGAGAGUCCCUGAAGGAACACUGUGAUGGGCUGAUUACUGUGAGCCAGUUGUGGGCCAGACCUGGCCUCAGGUGCUGCAAAGGGAAUUCAGUCACCCCUGUGCAGUGAUCUGUGAGCCCCAAGUCAGAUCCAACUUUUUCCUGAUAGACAGCACCCUCCUCCUCCCUACCAAGAAAUAGCAGGGUUGGAGGUAGUGACCCAAUAUUCAAGAGGUUUGAAAUUCUACAUGAGAUAUUUCUGAGUUAACUCCUAAAUAGCAGUUUCCUUAAUCAUGUGGAAAAUAAGAACACUUACUAAAGAGACCAUUGGUUUAAGAGAAAUGGAAACUUAUGUCCACGUAAAAACCUGUAAAUGAAUGUUCACAGCAGCCUUUUCAUAAUAGCCAAAAAGGGAAAGCAAUCCACACGUCCAUCAACCAAUGAAUGGAUAAACUUAACGUGGGAUAUACGUGUAAUGGAAUGCUAUUUGGUGAAGAAAGAAAUGAAAUAUUAAUACAUGCGUUAACAAGGAUGGACCUU
ensembl:lncRNA NFIB-AS1 NFIB antisense RNA 1